AGAACGAACGCUGGCGGCAGGCUUAACACAUGCAAGUCGAGCGAGGACUUCGGUCCUAGCGGCGGACGGGUGAGUAACGCGUGGGAACGUGCCCCUUUCUUCGGAAUAGCCUCGGGAAACUGGGAGUAAUGCCGAAUACGUCCCGUAAGGGAGAAAGAUUUAUCGGAGAGGGAUCGGCCCGCGUUGGAUUAGGUAGUUGGUGGGGUAAUGGCCUACCAAGCCGACGAUCCAUAGCUGGUUUGAGAGGAUGAUCAGCCACACUGGGACUGAGACACGGCCCAGACUCCUACGGGAGGCAGCAGUGGGGAAUCUUGGACAAUGGGGGCAACCCUGAUCCAGCCAUGCCGCGUGAGCGAUGAAGGCCUUAGGGUUGUAAAGCUCUUUCAGCGGGGAAGAUAAUGACGGUACCCGCAGAAGAAGCCCCGGCUAACUCCGUGCCAGCAGCCGC
rnacentral:rRNA from 1 species